GACGAACGCUGGCGGCGUGCUUAACACAUGCAAGUCGAACGGUAAGGCCUUCGGGUACACGAGUGGCGAACGGGUGAGUAACACGUGGGUGAUCUGCCCUGCACUUUGGGAUAAGCCUGGGAAACUGGGUCUAAUACCGAAUAGGACUACGGCCUGCAUGGGUUGUGGUGGAAAGCUUUUGCGGUGUGGGAUGGGCCCGCGGCCUAUCAGCUUGUUGGUGAGGUCACGGCUCACCAAGGCGACGACGGGUAGCCGGCCUGAGAGGGUGACCGGCCACAGUGGGACUGAGAUACGGCCCAGACUCCUACGGGAGGCAGCAGUGGGGAAUAUUGCACAAUGGGCGCAAGCCUGAUGCAGCGACGCCGCGUGAGGGAUGACGGCCUUCGGGUUGUAAACCUCUUUCAGUAGGGACGAAGCGCAAGUGACGGUACCUAUAGAAGAAGGACCGGCCAACUACGUGCCAGCAGCCGCCGUAA
rnacentral:rRNA from 1 species